rnacentral:rRNA from 1 species
CGACCGGGUGAGUAACACGUGACUAACCUACCUUCAAUGGGGGAUAACCUCGGGAAACCGGGGCUAAUACCGCAUAACAUCUCUGGAGCGGAAGAACUGGAGAUCAAAGGAGCAAUUCGCUGGAAGAGGGGGUCGCGGCUGAUUAGUUAGUUGGCGGGGUAAUGGCCCACCAAGACAGAGAUCGGUAGCCGGCCUGAGAGGGCGCACGGCCACACUGGAACUGAAACACGGUCCAG